GAGGUCUGCCCAGCAGGACAGUGACUGAGAGUAGCGUCUCAACCCACAUCACGCUGCCUCGCCGUGUCUCUCAGACGGAACCCCCUCUCCAUGCAGUUGUGGCUUGCAGAGGCCACGUGGGCGACAGAAGGAGCCUCAGCUACUCUGUCACACGGAAUCGGAGUCAGGGGUCCCUUUGAAAAUUGGAGGCAGAACAUGGUAAAGAUUUUGUCACAGUCUGGCGGAAAGAUGGUCAGCGUCUGCUGGGCUCUGGAACCUGGACGUUUUCUCCAGUCGUUGACGUCCCACGGAGCUCCUCUCGGGGCCGAGUGCCCCAAGGAAAAAAAAUCUCAUUUACAGAGCAGCAAAAGUCAAAAUAGUAUG